rnacentral:rRNA from 1 species
AACGUACGCUGGCGGCACGCCUAACACAUGCAAGUCGAACGAAGUAGCAAUACUUAGUGGCAGACGGGUGAGUAACAUGUGGGUAUCUGCCCUUUGGCCUGGAAUAACACGAGGAAACUUGUGCUAAUACCGGAUAAGUCUUUACGGAGAAAGCUUUAUGCACCAUUGGAUGAGCCCGCACUUGAUUAGUUUGUUGGUAGGGUAAUGGCCUACCAAGACUAUGAUCAAUAGCUGAUUUGAGAGGAUGAUCAGCCACAUUGGGACUGAGACACGGCCCAAACUCCUACGGGAGGCAGCAGUGGGGAAUCUUGCACAAUGGAGGAAACUCUGAUGCAGCGAUGCCGCGUGAGUGAAGAAGGCCUUUGGGUUGUAAAGCUCUUUCGUCGGGGAAGAAAAUGACUGUACCCGAAUAAGAAGGUCCGGCUAACUUCGUGCCAGCAGCCGCGGUAAUACGAAGGGACCUAGCGUAGUUCGGAAUUACUGGGCUUAAAGAGUUCGUAGGUGGUUGAAGAAGUUGGUGGUGAAAUCCCAGAGCUUAACUCUGGAACUGCCAUCAAAACUUUUCGGCUAGAGUUUGAUAGAGGAAAGCAGAAUUUCUAGUGUAGAGGUGAAAUUCGUAGAUAUUAGAAAGAAUACCAAUUGCGAAGGCAGCUUUCUGGAUCAUUACUGACACUGAGGAACGAAAGCAUGGGUAGCGAAGAGGAUUAGAUACCCUCGUAGUCCAUGCCGUAAACGAUGUGUGUUAGACGUUGGAAAUUUAUUUUCAGUGUCGCAGCGAAAGCGAUAAACACACCGCCUGGGGGAGUACGACCGCAAGGUUAAAACUCAAAUGAAUUGACGGGGACCCGCACAAGUAGUGGAGCAUGUGGUUUAAUUCGAAGAUACGCGCAGAACCUUACCAACACUUGACAUGUUCGUCGCGACUUUAAGAGAUUAAAGUUUUCGGUUCGGCCGGACGAAACACAGGUGCUGCAUGGCUGUCGUCAGCU